UUGUACUGGCUAGUUUUGUGUCAACUUGACACAGCUGGGGUUAUCACAGAGAAAGGAGCUUCAGUUGAGGAAAUGCCUCCAUGAGAUCCAACUCUAAGGCAUUUUCUCAAUUAGUGAUCAAGGGGGAGAGGCCCCUUGUGGGUGGUGCCAUCUCUGGGCUGGUAGUCUUGGGUUCUAUAAGAGAGCAGGCUGAGCAAGCCAGGGGAGGCAAGCCAGUAAAGAACAUCCCUCCAUGGCCUCUGCAUCGGCUCCUGCUUUCUGACCUGCUUGAGUUCCAGUCCUG
rnacentral:lncRNA from 1 species